rnacentral:tRNA from 1 species
GAGCUAUAGCUCAGCUGGGAGAGCACCUCCCUUACAAGGAGGGGGUCGGCGGUUCGAUCCCGUCAUCACCCACCA